UAUAGCUAAAUCUAAAUUUUGACGAAGUGACUACCACGACAAACUUCCUCGUUCCAUUCCCUUACAUGGUCAAACUUCGUACUCGUUGUCGUAGUCGUACUCUUGCUAAAGGCGGAUCUCCACUAGACGAUUUUAGAGACGAUUUUAUGCACGAUUGUCAAAAUUUUCGCAACGAUUUUUUUAGCAAUGGAAAUGCAUGAAUAAAAAUAUCACCAAAAUGAGAAACCACUGAUCUGAUAAUAGACUGGAUAUAGCUUCCACAGGUAGCAAAAGGGUGAUUGCUAGAUAGUAUACUUCAAAAUAAGAUUUCCGCUGGGAGACUGGUGCGAGUUUUGCAAUAUCUUCGGAAAAAAGAAACGAGAGCAUCACGAAUAACGAACAAAGAUAGAGCGAUAAACCCUGGGUAAACCUAUUAUCAAUGAGAAUAGUUUAGUGUAGGAGUUUUAUUGUGAUGAAGUUGUUGGUAUUUGAUUGAAUCAGUAUGCUAGAAAUUCAUUCUCCUCAAGAUUCUUGUUUUGGUAGUGAAUCUUGAAGAAUUAUUCCUGCUUCCUGUGGUGCAGAGUUUCGUGCUUCUUCUAGCAAUGUAUUAAGACCAUUGGAAUAUUUUCGAGCGAGUUAUCUGCUGGAACUAUGGUGUUAUCUAGAUGAAAAGUGGAUUUUCUCGAUAAAGUGGGCUGAGUCUAUCCCAUUUCCACUCUGGAAAAGCUCUUAUGCAAGCACAGAAGUGUUUGCACAAAAGUUUGUUGUGUCUCCAGUCUACGCAGGUGCAGUUUGGAAGCGUUUGUUCAUCACCAAAAAGUACGAUAUGGUGCUCCUUCCCUGUUGAACUUUUUACUUCAAAGACCCCUGGGGACACCAUGUGGACCAUGUCUUUGCUAAUGUCACUAUCCCAACGCUUCAUAAUAUGAGACACCAUUCUGGCAGGUCUGUUGUGCAGAAAUUUUGGAAGUUCCUCAUUAUAAGCACGGUAACCUUCGUGACAUUUAACAUUUAGCUCAGCAUAUCUAAAAUUGUAAAAGGAAAACGUCACUCACGAAUAUUAUUACAUCUUAUUAGAAUCCAAAGAUGACUAAAGUCGACAGUAAGUGCCGCUGUAGUUAGCCUAAUCACACCUUUCAAUAAUUUGUUAAUUAAGCAGUUGUUUUUUCAAAAGAAGGGGCCUGUGUCACACAACAAAAACAAUACGAAAUGAAUUUUUCCUUCAAAACUGGUAUUUUUUCGUUAUAAAAACAUAGAAUCAUUAUAGUAUUGUGAAGUAUUAAAAAUUUUACUUUUUGAAGGUAUUUGGGAGAAACCGAUCAACAAGUGCUGUCAGCAUAUCACUUAAGGAGCACCCUUUAUUCCCAUGGAGGUACUCAUAUUUGAAUGCCUUAUUCUGUCUUUCAAUGCCAUUGUUCGUGUUCACUGCACAAAUGAAAUCUCCUGUCCGAUACGCUUGACACCAUCUCUGUAAGAAAACGAUCAAUACAGUAUAUUUUGCAUGUUCUGCUAGUACAUAGUAUUUUAUUUGAGAUUAUGAAAUAAUACAACGAUAUAAGCCCUGGA